rnacentral:lncRNA from 1 species
AUUCAGAAGUGACCAAAACAUCAGCCAGGAAGCAUAGGAACUGAGAAGUGGUCUGUGGUCACCACCUGCAGAACUACUCCUUUAUUGGGGCUGUCUUGCUAAUUGCCUAUAAUUUCCACCUGUUGUCCAUCCCAUAUGCACAACAGCAUGUGAAAUUGAUUGUCACUCAGUGUUGCUUCCUAAGUGGACAGUUUGAUUUCACAGAAGUGUGA